GGCGAGGUCCCGUGCGACGCCGCGCCGCGAACCUGGUCAGGGCCGGAAGGCAGCAGCCAUAAGCGGGACGUGACGGGUGCCGCGGUCAAGCCGCACAUCU
rnacentral:SRP_RNA from 1 species